rnacentral:lncRNA from 1 species
GCCCAAUUUCGGACGAGCCCCUAAGCCCAAUAGUCCAUUACUCGCCCAAAGACCCGCCUCCCAUCCGCUUGACCCGCCCAAUGCCCUUUAACUCUCAGCCUUCCAUUCCCACUAAAUCCUAGGGCCAAUAUUAAUCCUCCCAAACCAUAUAAAAACCCAAUAUUAAACUAAAACCUAACCCUAAUAAACCAAAGAGACCACCCAAACGGUGCCAUCCCCAUCUCCCACCUCUAACGCUGCUACAACCCACCGGAAAAUUCUCUCCCAUGCGCUCGUGGUCACCUACUCCUCUUCUCUUUCCUCCACGUGGCUUGACAAGUAACGACCCCGAAUAUUCUCUCAUUCUCACCUCUUUUCUCCCGUGUUUGAAGCCUCUAGAAGGCAUAUGCUGGAUGAAUGGGGAGUGUGGAAUCGAUUUCAAUUGAUCCCAGUCCUUCAUUCUUCAGCUCUUUGCCUGAUAUAUAGAGGAAUUUUUGAAGAAGAAAAAAGGAUUUCUUUAGACAGAUUUUCGGAGUUUUAUUGAAAAGUAGAAUAAAAAUUAGGAUUUUGAUUUUUGCUUUCUUCCUAUUUUUCAUUUGAGUUUCCAGAAAAAAUAUUAAUAAAAUAUUUAAUUCCUUUCUUCUUCUUAAUUUAAUUUCGAUACCAGAAAAUAUCAACAAAAAAGGUUUUCGUUUCUUCUUUUAAUUUCUGUUAAAAAAGGAGCUCUAUUGAGAAGUCUUUGAGUUAGUCGCUAAUCGAGGUGUCGAUCUCCGGCCGUUGUUGCCUUUUCAGUUUGAUUUCGGUUUUGUUGCCAGAUUUCUCAUUGUAUAUUAAUCGCAGAAUUUUUAUUGAAAGCUCAUUUUCAGGCUUCUUUCUGAUUCCCUUUCUCCCUAAUUUUAGUGUUGAUUGAAACAUGAUAAGUAUUGAAGCUUAAUUGGUUAUAAAUUGUCUGAUGCUUGGUUAACAUUAGAGGAAAU